rnacentral:rRNA from 1 species
UACGUAGGGUGCAAGCGUUAAUCGGAAUUACUGGGCGUAAAGCGUGCGCAGGCGGUUCGCUAAGACAGAUGUGAAAUCCCCGGGCUUAACCUGGGAACUGCAUUUGUGACUGGCGGGCUAGAGUAUGGCAGAGGGGGGUAGAAUUCCACGUGUAGCAGUGAAAUGCGUAGAGAUGUGGAGGAAUACUGAUGGCGAAGGCAGCCCCCUGGGCCAAUACUGACGCUCAUGCACGAAAGCGUGGGGAGCAAACAGG